UACGAAGGUGGCUAGCGUUGCUCGGAAUCACUGGGCGUAAAGCGUACGUAGGCGGCUUUCUAAGUCAGGGGUGAAAUCCUGGAGCUCAACUCCAGAACUGCCUUUGAUACUGGGAAGCUUGAGUCCGGAAGAGGUGAGUGGAACUGCGAGUGUAGAGGUGAAAUUCGUAGAUAUUCGCAAGAACACCAGUGGCGAAGGCGGCUCACUGGUCCGGUACUGACGCUGAGGUGCGAAAGCGUGGGGAGCAAACAGG
rnacentral:rRNA from 1 species